UAGGGAAUCUUCCGCAAUGGGCGAAAGCCUGACGGAGCAAUGCCGCGUGAGUGAAGAAGGCCUUCGGGUCGUAAAACUCUGUUAUAAGAGAAGAACAAAUUGUAGAGUAACUGCUACAGUCUUGACGGUAUCUUAUCAGAAAGCCACGGCUAACUACGUGCCAGCAGCCGCGGUAAUACGUAGGUGGCAAGCGUUGUCCGGAUUUAUUGGGCGUAAAGGGAGCGCAGGUGGUUUCUUAAGUCUGAUGUGAAAGCCCACGGCUUAACCGUGGAGGGUCAUUGGAAACUGGGAAACUUGAGUACAGAAGAGGAAUGGGGAACUCCAUGUGUAGCGGUGGAAUGCGUAGAUAUAUGGAAGAACACCAGUGGCGAAGGGGACAUUCUGGUCUGUUACUGACACUGAGGCUCGAAAGCGUGGGGAGCAAACAGG
rnacentral:rRNA from 1 species